GAUGAACGCUAGCGGCGUGCCUAAUACAUGCAAGUCGAGCGAACGGACGAGAAGCUUGCUUCUCUGACGUUAGCGGCGGACGGGUGAGUAACACGUGGAUAACCUACCUAUAAGACUGGGAUAACUUCGGGAAACCGGAGCUAAUACCGGAUAAUAUUUUGAACCGCAUGGUUCAAAAGUGAAAGACGGUCUUGCUGUCACUUAUAGAUGGAUCCGCGCUGCAUUAGCUAGUUGGUAAGGUAACGGCUUACCAAGGCAACGAUGCAUAGCCGACCUGAGAGGGUGAUCGGCCACACUGGAACUGAGACACGGUCCAGACUCCUACGGGAGGCAGCAGUAGGGAAUCUUCCGCAAUGGGCGAAAGCCUGACGGAGCAACGCCGCGUGAGUGAUGAAGGUCUUCGGAUCGUAAAACUCUGUUAUUAGGGAAGAACAUAUGUGUAAGUAACUGUGCACAUCUUGACGGUACCUAAUCAGAAAGCCACGGCUAACUACGUG
rnacentral:rRNA from 1 species